AACCUUACCCGGGCUCAAACGGGAGAUGACUCGGCCAGAGACGGCCGUUUCCGCAAGGACAUCUUCCGAGGUGCUGCAUGGUUGUCGUCAGCUCGUGCCGUGAGGUGUCGGCUUAAGUGCCAUAACGAGCGCAACCCCCGCGGGCAGUUGCUAACAGGUCAAGCUGAGGACUCUGCCCGGACUGCCGGCGCAAGCCGUGAGGAAGGCGGGGAUGACGUCAAAUCAGCACGGCCCUUACGUCCGGGGCGACACACGUGUUACAAUGGUCGGUACAGCGGGAAGCCAGGCGGCGACGCCGAGCGGAACCCGAAAGCCGGUCUCAGUUCGGAUCGGAGUCUGCAACCCGACUCCGUGAAGCUGGAUUCGCUAGUAAUCGCGCA
rnacentral:rRNA from 1 species